rnacentral:rRNA from 1 species
GACGAACGCUGGCGGCGUGCCUAAUACAUGCAAGUAGGACGCAGUUGCGAACGGGUGAGUAACGCGUGGGUAACUACCUAUUAGAGGGGGAUAACUAUUGGAAACGAUAGCUAAUACCGCAUACUAGUAGAUGGACCUGCGUUGUAUUAGCUAGUAGGUAGGGUAAUGGCCUACCUAGGCAACGAUACAUAGCCGACCUGGGAGGGGGAUGGGCUGCACGGGGACUGGGAGACGGGCCAGACUCCUAGGGGAGGCAGCAGGAGGGAAUUGUCGGCAAUGGGGGGAGCGCUGACCGAGCAACGCGGCGGGAGUGAAGAAGGUUUUCGGAUCGUAAAGACCGGUUGGUAAGGAAGCGGUACUUAACCAGAAAGGGACGGCUAACUACGUGCCAGCAGCCGCGGUAAUAC